UACGUAGGGCGCAAGCGUUGUCCGGAAUUAUUGGGCGUAAAGAGCUCGUAGGCGGUUUGUCGCGUCUGCUGUGAAAACCUAAGGCUCAACCUUGGGCUUGCAGUGGGUACGGGCAGACUAGAGUGCGGUAGGGGUGACUGGAAUUCCUGGUGUAGCGGUGAAAUGCGCAGAUAUCAGGGGGAACACCAGCGGCGAAGGCGCUGCUCUGGGCCGGUACUGACGCUGAGGAGCGAAAGCGUGGGGAGCGAACAGG
rnacentral:rRNA from 1 species